rnacentral:tRNA from 1 species
GGGGCUAUCGUCUAGGGGUCAGGACGCCGCCCUUUCACGGCGGCAACACGGGUUCGAAUCCCGUUAGCCCUACCA